AUUGAACGCUGGCGGCAGGCUUAACACAUGCAAGUCGAGCGGAGAUGAGGUGCUUGCACCUUAUCUAGCGGCGGACGGGUGAGUAAUGCUUAGGAAUCUGCCUAUUAGUGGGGGACAACAUUCCGAAAGGAAUGCUAAUACCGCAUACGUCCUACGGGAGAAAGCAGGGGAUCUUCGGACCUUGCGCUAAUAGAUGAGCCUAAGUCGGGUUAGCUAGUUGGUGGGGUAAAGGCCUACCAAGGCGACGAUCUGUAGCGGGUCUGAGAGGAUGAUCCGCCACACUGGGACUGAGACACGGCCCAGACUCCUACGGGAGGCAGCAGUGGGGAAUAUUGGACAAUGGGGGGAACCCUGAUCCAGCCAUGCCGCGUGUGUGAAGAAGGCCUUAUGGUUGUAAAGCACUUUAAGCGAGGAGGAGGCUACUGAGACUAAUACUCUUGGAUAGUGGACGUUACUCGCAGAAUAAGCACCGGCUAACUCUGUGCCAGCAGCCGCGGUAAUAC
rnacentral:rRNA from 1 species